rnacentral:tRNA from 1 species
GGCCCCAUCGUCUAGUGGUUAGGACAUCGGCCUCUCACGCCGGUAACACGAGUUCAAAUCUCGUUGGGGUCACCA